UACGUAGGUGGCAAGCGUUGUCCGGAUUUACUAGGCGUAAAGAGCGCGCAGGCGGUCGUUCAAGUCGCGUGUGAAAGCCCCCGGCUCAACUGGGGAGGGUCACGCGAUACUGAUCGACUCGAAGGCAGGAGAGGGAAGUGGAAUUCCCGGUGUAGUGGUGAAAUGCGUAGAUAUCGGGAGGAACACCAGUGGCGAAGGCGACUUCCUGGCCUGUUCUUGACGCUGAGGCGCGAAAGCUAGGGGAGCAAACGGG
rnacentral:rRNA from 1 species